UUGAUAACUUAGUGGCGGACGGGUGAGUAACGCGUGGGUAACCUGCCGUAUACAGGGGGAUAACACUUAGAAAUAGGUGCUAAUACCGCAUAAGCGCACGGUUCCGCAUGGGACAGUGUGAAAAACCGAGGUGGUAUACGAUGGACCCGCGUCUGAUUAGCCAGUUGGCAGGGUAACGGCCUACCAAAGCGACGAUCAGUAGCCGGCCUGAGAGGGCGGACGGCCACAUUGGGACUGAGACACGGCCCAAACUCCUACGGGAGGCAGCAG
rnacentral:rRNA from 1 species